rnacentral:rRNA from 1 species
CUACGGGAGGCAGCAGUGGGGAAUUUUGGACAAUGGGCGAAAGCCUGAUCCAGCAAUGCCGCGUGAGUGAAGAAGGCCUUCGGGUUGUAAAGCUCUUUUGUCAGGGAAGAAACGGUGAGAGCUAAUAUCUCUUGCUAAUGACGGUACCUGAAGAAUAAGCACCGGCUAACUACGUGCCAGCAGCCGCGGUAAUACGUAGGGUGCAAGCGUUAAUCGGAAUUACUGGGCGUAAAGCGUGCGCAGGCGGUUUUGUAAGUCUGAUGUGAAAUCCCCGGGCUCAACCUGGGAAUUGCAUUGGAGACUGCAAGGCUAGAAUCUGGCAGAGGGGGGUAGAAUUCCACGUGUAGCAGUGAAAUGCGUAGAUAUGUGGAGGAACACCGAUGGCGAAGGCAGCCCCCUGGGUCAAGAUUGACGCUCAUGCACGAAAGCGUGGGGAGCAAACAGGAUUAGAUACCCUGGUAGUCCACGCCCUAAACGAUGUCUACUAGUUGUCGGGUCUUAAUUGACUUGGUAACGCAGCUAACGCGUGAAGUAGACCGCCUGGGGAGUACGGUUCGCAAGAUUAAAACUCAAAGGAUUGACGG